rnacentral:lncRNA from 1 species
GUGUCACUGUCACAUGUGACAACUUUUUCUCCUCCUACGGGCUGGCAGAGCAGUUGCUCAAAAGAAAGAUCGCCAUGGUCGGCACAAUAAGGAAGAACAAGCCAGAACUUCCACUUGAGCUCCUGAAGGUCCGGGGGAGAGAGUCGCUCUCAUUAAUGUUCGCUUUUACAGCAACACAUACCCUGGUGUCGUAUGUACCAAAGCGGGGAAAGAAUGUGCUUCUCCUCAGCACAAAGCACCGGGAGCCGGAGAUCAGCAGCGGGGGUAAGAUGAAGCCCCAGAUCAUCCUUGAUUACAGCCGCUGCAAAUGAGCCGUGGAUACGAUGGACCAGAUGAUUGCAAUGUAUAGUUGCAGAAGAAAGACGAGACGUUGGCCACUAGUGGUGUUUUUUAAUAUGUUGGACAUCAGUGCCCUCAACGCAUACAUCGUCUGGACGGCCAUUGACCCUACAUGGAAUGUCAGAAAAUCCUGCAGACGAAGGCUGUUCCUGGAUCAGCUUGGGAAAAUGCUGGUCAUGCCAGAGAGAGUAGGCGACAUACCUGACGCUUUUGACCUAUUUCUGAACGAAGAAAUGACGCAAGUCAUAACCAGGUACACCAACCUGCAUGGGAGAAGGACGGUCCGGGGGUGGAAGGACCUUGACGCCACAACGAUUCGCGCGUACUUCGGACUCCUCCUCCUGGCCGGCGUCUAUCGGUCCCGGGGAGAAGCGACGCGCAGCCUCUGGGGCGGCGAGACAGGUCGCCACAUUUUUCGGGUGACCAUGCCCAGAAAAACCUUUGAAAUUAUUUCUAGAUCGCUGUGCUUUGACGACCGUCUCUCCAGACCACGGCGUCGGGAUGAUAAGCUGGCCGCGAUCCGAGACAUGUGGGACCAGUGGACUGACCGGCUCCCACAGAUAUUUAACCCCGGAGCAGACAUUUGCGUCGACGAGCAACUGUGGCGUAUCGUGGGCGAUGCAACUUUCGGCAGUACAUGCCGAAGAAGCCAGGAGGUACGGCGUCAAAAUUUGGGCAACCUGCGAUGUAGUAACGUCCUAUGUCUGGAGAGUUUCGGUUUACACCGGCCGAUCAGCCCGUGCGCCUCCAUAAAAACAACAGGGACAGUGAGUUGUGCUGGAGAUGACGGAGGGGCUAACAGGUGUCACUGUCACAUGUGA